GGGACCAACGUCCUCGCUUCAUACAGCUUCCAAGCAUGUAGCACCCAGAGAAAAGGCUAUGUCUGCACACUUCAAUCUCUGCUGGCCAAGAGUGCCUUGCAUCAUUACUGAAAGAGGCUGUGUAUGAGGACUUAUGUGACUAGAAACUGUACAUAAGAUGAGCUGUGAAAAUAAAUGUGGAUACUGAAAGAGCCAGUACCAUUAAAGUGCCCACGAGGGUUUAAACACCAUGCAGAUUGUGUUGUUGCCACACACUGAAGAAAAGCCAAUUUUGAAUAAUUUCUCAGUAAAUGAGGCCUGCUUGUGCUGUACUCUGAAAAAGGGAAGGGGCUGGCCAUAGAAACUGAAACCUUGGAAACAUGUCUGAUUGCAGUGAGGACACUGGCCAACAUGCCCUAAGGAAUAUUUCUGAGGUGGCUGAAGACACUACCAUGCCUGUCCAUGCACCCUGCUCUUCUUCUGUUACUCACUUCAUCCCCAAGAGCAGUGAGCACUGAACAGUUUGCCUCUGGGGUGAUUUUGUUGAAACCUUGUGCUAUGCCUUGGGGCAGUUAAGACACAGACACAUGUUGUUCCUGCCUCUCCUAGAGGAUCUGCAAACCCAAGAGGGCAGGAGAGACAGCCAGGAGACCAAUAACGUCUGAAAGUGUCCCUGCAAGGUUUUCCUGAGUCUGUCUGAUAAAAAGACCCUUAAUUAAGUUGGUAGAGUACAGUCAAGGGUCCACAGUCUCCUCUGGUAUAAAUCAGUACCUAGUGCUUUGGAAAUCCAUGGAGCUGUCAGGUUUACAGCAGCUAACCCCGAAAUUGUUCGUAGUU
rnacentral:lncRNA from 1 species